rnacentral:tRNA from 1 species
GCGGGUGUGGCGGAAUUGGUAGACGCGCGGGAUUCAAAAUCCCGUUUCCUUAGGAAGUGUCGGUUCGAUUCCGACCACCCGUACCA